GCGGGCGUAGCUCAGCGGUAGAGCGUUGGCUUCCCAAGCCAUCAUGCAAACCGCCGCCUAAGCCA
rnacentral:tRNA from 1 species